UACAGAGGGUGCAAGCGUUAAUCGGAAUUACUGGGCGUAAAGCGCGCGUAGGUGGAAAAAUAAGUUAGAUGUGAAAGCCCCGGGCUUAACCUGGGAAAGUCAUCUAAUACUAUUUAUCUAGAGUACAGUAGAGGGAAGUGGAAUUUCCGGUGUAGCGGUGAAAUGCGUAGAUAUCGGAAGGAACACCAGUGGCGAAGGCGGCUUCCUGGACUGAUACUGACACUGAGACGCGAGAGCGUGGGGAGCGAACAGG
rnacentral:rRNA from 1 species